GUGAAAUUACUGGGACUGGGACCGGAUCCGGGGAUUGGUGUAGACAUCCUUGGCUGGGCAGACACAACAAGCUGGAAUCCACAAAGAUCCUGUAGGAGCAAACACAACAACACAGCCCUGCGCCCUUGGCCCCAAAUAGUUAACUAAAACAUUCAAUUAAUUUAAGGUAAAUAGAAACAUUCAAUUGCAUUCAAUUGAUUUAAGAUAAAUAAUACUUUUUAAAACUACUUUUUAAAACUUUUUAGAGACCCUUUCCCUCCUGUUUUAUUUAUUUGUGGAGACAGGCCUUAAAUGAUCGAUGAGCAUGUUCCAUUCUGGCUAUAUUCCAGGUUGUACAAAAUUGCAAAAAAGCCAAAUAUCAUGUUGUAAAAAAGAGGGCUUGCCUUGUGGGUAACAUCCAUUUGCCAAAGUUGAGGAUGAAACAAUCUGCUUGGCUUGAUUAACUGGAAUAUGGCAAGCUUUUGCCAGGCCUCUAGCAUUUUGAUG